UCCUAUUGUUAAGCCACCAGUUCACAAACCACCAAAGCAUUCUCCUACUCCUAAACCACCAGUUCAUAAACCACCAAGAUAUCCUCCUAAACCAUCACCUUGUCCACCCCCAUCAUCAACACCAAAACCACCUCAUCAUCCCAAACCCCCAGCAGUACACCCACCACAUGUUCCAAAACCACAUCCACCUUAUGUUCCAAAACCACCAAUUGUUAAACCUCCAAUAGUACAUCCACCUUACGUACCAAAACCCCCAGUUGUGAAACCACCACCAUAUGUCCCUAAACCACCUGUUGUGAGACCACCCUAUGUUCCUAAACCACCAGUUGUACCUGUAACACCACCUUAUGUUCCUAAGCCACCAAUUGUUUUCCCACCACAUGUUCCUCUACCUCCAGUUGUACCAUCACCACCACCUUAUGUACCAACACCUCCAAUUGUGAAACCACCAAUUGUUUUUCCACCACAUGUUCCUCUACCUCCAGUUGUGCCUGUAACACCACCUUAUGUGCAACCACCACCUAUUGUAACUCCACCAACACCAACACCUCCAAUUGUGACACCACCAACACCACCUAGUGAAACACCUUGUCCUCCACCACCACUUGUACCUUAUCCACCACCACCAGCACAACAAACAUGUUCCAUUGAUGCUUUGAAGUUGGGUGCAUGUGUUGAUGUGCUUGGUGGACUCAUACAUAUUGGUAUAGGUGGAAGUG
rnacentral:lncRNA from 1 species